rnacentral:rRNA from 1 species
UUGCAGUUAAAAAGCUCGUAGUUGGAUUUCUGCGGGGGCGGGGCGGCCGGAUGCUUAUAGCAACUCGAGCUAGCACUUCCCCUGCAUCCUGCCGCGAACCGUGCUACCAUUAGUUUGGUGGCGCCGGGGAUCGGCUCGUUUACUUUGAGAAAAAUAGAGUGUUCAAAGCAGGCCACACGCCUUGAAUAAGUUAGCAUGGAAUAAUGAUAAAGGACUUCGGUUCUAUUUUGUUGGUGUUCGGGACUGAAGUAAUGAUUGAUAGGGACAGUUGGGGCGGUCCGUAUUCCAAAGCGAGAGGUGAAAUUCUUAGACCCUCGGAAGACGAGCAGCUGCGAAAGCGUUCCGCAAGGAUGUUCCCUUUGAUCAAGAACGGAAGUUGGGGGAUCGAAGACGAUCAGAUACCGUCGUAGUCUCAACUAUAAACUAUACCAGCUAGGGAUCGGCCAACGUUUAAUUACAUCCGACUUGGUCGGCACCUUAUGAGAAAUCAAAGCAUCUGGGUUCCGGGGGGAGUAUGGUCGCAAGGCUGACACUUAAAGGAAUUGACGGAAAGGCACCACCAUCCGUGGAGCCUGCGGCUUAAUUUGACUCACACGGGGAUUAACUACCAUGUCCAGACAUAAUAAGGAUGACAGAUUGAUAGCUCUUUCUUGAUCCUGUGGGGUGGUGG